ACGUAGGGGGCAAGCGUUGUCCGGAAUGAUUGGGCGUAAAGGGCGCGUAGGCGGCCUGGUAAGUCUGGAGUGAAAGUCCUGCUUUUAAGGUGGGAAUUGCUUUGGAUACUGUCGGGCUUGAGUGCAGGAGAGGUAAGUGGAAUUCCCGGUGGAGGGGGGAAAGGAGUAGAGAGGGGGAGGAGCAGAAGUGGGGAAGGCGACAUACAGGAAUGAAACCGACGGUGAGGCGGGAAAGUGUGGGGAGCAAAAAG
rnacentral:rRNA from 1 species